AAGUCGUAACAAGGUUUCUGUAGGUGAACCUGCAGAAGGAUCAUUCAUGAACCGACCCAUGGGUCUUUGCUCUCGGGCGAAGGCUUGUGGGGAUACCUAUACACUGUGAACCUUAAAAAGAUUUGGUGUCCAUGUAGUGUUGGUGUUGGCUCUGCGUAAAGCAUCCUUCACCAACCAAAAGCUGGGCACUGGGGGCUUAACUAACUAACCAAAUUAUUUCAUUAUUGCCUAAAACUUUAAAUUAUACAACCUUUAACAAUGGAUCUCUUGGCUCCU
rnacentral:misc_RNA from 1 species